rnacentral:misc_RNA from 1 species
UCGCACGCAUUAUCCUAUUACAACUGUGAAUCCCUGGUGUGAAUCUCUGUGCAAGGAUGGAGAUAGCAUCAAUCCCUUGUGCAGAAGUUCAAAGGCGGCUGGGGCAUGAUGGGUGCUUGUCACCUCCUUCAUGUUCUUGUCGCCAUCCCUCCUUUUCAAUUUUUUUCAUUCUUGUUUUCGAAUGCUUUGCAUUCUUACAACUUUCAGCGAUUGAUGUCUCGGCUCGAACAACGAUGAAGGGCACAGCGAACUGUGAUAAGCAUUGUGAAUUGCAGAAUUCCGUGAAUCAAUAGAAACUUGAAUGUAGACUGUGCUUUCGGGAUAUCCCUGAAAGCAUGCCUGCUUCAGUGUCCAAUCCAUUUCAUGCCGGCAACACGAUCCGCAUUGGCGGUGCUGUUGCCUGUGUGUGUUUGUGUGUUAAGGAGCUUCUUGCCUUUGACACAUGAAGGACAUGGGAAUUUCUUUCGAGCAUACAACAAUCUAUUCACCUCCGGUGUUUUUGUUUGUGUUGCUCGUUGGAAUCCUGCCAGCUUGUCUGUGCACAGCUAUC